GGCCUUGCUCUUAUGUCAUCUGACUAAAGGUUUCAUAGACCAAAGAUAACCAUCCAACCUGUUGGAAUACUGAAACAAUUGCUGCCUGCUUUCCACACACUACAUAAAUUAUGUGGAUAUCCUAAAUUCUACAAAAAAAGAUUUGUAAGCAAAUCAAGCAAUACUGGGACUCCCUCUUCUCCAGAAGAGACAUCCUGGCCUCCAUGCAGAGGAAUGUGUGGAUAGACAUAUAUUUAAGGAAGACACUAAACCAGAAAAUACUACAUUACACCCUCUUAAAAGACUUCUAAGAUUGUUGUCAUGCCUACCACUGACAUUCAGAUGAUGUGUAUUCUUGAUUGUGAUUUCAUGUUUGGAGCUGAUGAAGGAGUUUGAAGUCUCCAGAGCAGCAAGGAGAGUGGGGAGUAGAACUCAUCAUCUUUAGGUCACUCAUCACCG
rnacentral:lncRNA from 1 species